GACGAACGCUGGCGGCGUGCUUAACACAUGCAAGUCGAGCGACGCUCUUCCUUCGGGGAGAUGACGGAGCGGCGAACGGGUGAGUAACACGUGGGCAACCUGCCCCUAGCUCUGGGACAACACCGGGAAACCGGUGCUAAUACCGGAUACGACAUCGAGCGGCAUCUCUCGAUGUGGAAAGUUUUUUCGGCUAGGGAUGGGCCCGCGGCCUAUCAGCUUGUUGGUGGGGUAAUGGCCCACCAAGGCGACGACGGGUAGCCGGCCUGAGAGGGCGACCGGCCACACUGGGACUGAGACACGGCCCAGACUCCUACGGGAGGCAGCAGUGGGGAAUAUUGCGCAAUGGGCGAAAGCCGGACGCAGCGACGCCGCGUGAGGGAUGACGGCCUUCGGGUUGGAAACCUCUUUCAGCAGGGACGAAUUCAGACGGUACCUGCAGAAGAAGCACCGGCCAACUACGUG
rnacentral:rRNA from 1 species